UGCACCUUCUAUAAAUGCCUUGUCAAGAAUCCUUGUUGUCUAAAUGCUUUAUUUUGUGGCACUGACAAAUUGAGCCUGGGGAUUUAUUUCCAACAAUUUUGGUUCCCAAUAUGGGGCCCAAAGGUCUCUGAGAUGCAGGAACUCCCACUAGCAGGAGAUGCAAACCACAGCCUUUUUGCGGUGGCCCCCAGGACAAGGACCAACAUACAAGAUGUCUGGACUCAGCAAAGGUCUCAUGACAAUGCUGAAAGUGGUCCAGAGGCAAGAGACAGGGGAGACCAGGCAGCUUCGUCCAUGAGCCAAGGUACUUGAUGUCUAGAAAAGAUUACUGAUAUCCUGGGUGUUCAAGAUUGCUUUGGAUUGGAGAUCAAAGCUAAAAAGCAGGUCUUACACUUACUAAUCAACUGAUAAGCCCAUGGUUUCCCAGGGCUAUCCUAGACUGAGUCAAAAUCAAAUCCACAGACUGAACAAGACUGGAUCUCAACAGUAGUAUGAAGACAUGGAUUCCAGAACCCUGGGAGGCUGAGGCAGAAGGAUCACAAGUUCGAGCCCAACCUGGGCAACUU